rnacentral:rRNA from 1 species
AUUGAACGCUGGCGGCAGGCCUAACACAUGCAAGUCGAGCGGAGCGGCGGACGGGUGAGUAAUGCCUAGGAAUCUGCCUGGUCGUGGGGGAUAACGUCCGGAAACGGGCGCUAAUACUGCAUACUAUCAGAUGAGACUAGGUCGGAUUAGCUAGUUGGUGGGGUAAAGGCCUACCAAGGCGACGAUCCGGAACUGGUCUGAGAGGAUGAUCAGUCACACUGGAACUGAGACACGGUCCAGACUCCUACGGGAGGCAGCAGUGGGGAAUAUUGGACAAUGGGGGAAACCCUGAUCCAGCCAUCCCGCGUGUGCGAUGAAGGCCUUCGGGUUGUAAAGCACUUUUGGCAGGGAAGCGGUACCUGCAGAAUAAGCACCGGCUAACUACGUGCCAGCCGCCGCGGUAAUUC